AAAGGUUUAGUUAAAUUAUAACAUUAGAAUGUCAGACUAAAAUUAUUUUAUUAAAAAUAAUCUUUA
rnacentral:tRNA from 1 species